rnacentral:rRNA from 1 species
CAUGAAGUCGGAAUUGCUAGUAAUCGCAGAUCAGCAUGCUGCGGUGAAUACGUUCCCGGGCCUUGUACACACCGCCCGUCACACCAUGGGAGUCGGUAACACCCGAAGUCGGUAGCCUAACCGUAAGGAGGGCGCCGCCGAAGGUGGGAUUGAUGACUGGGGUGAAGUCGUAACAAGGUACC